AAAUUAAGGCAUUCUAUCAAAAAUUAAAACAACCCAAGUUUCAAUAACUACUCCUGUAACUUUGGUUUCUUCAUAUCAAAUAAUCAAUUUCAUUUUCAGUGCCAAAGGCAAGAAUAAUUGCCCACGCCAGAUGGAGACCCAGCUAAAUAAUGUAGUAACAGCGCGUGGUCGUGUGAUGAGGGUUCCUUGACUUGAGUUCUGGCGCAACACGUCCUGGGCACUAAACAAGAUUGGGGAUGGGACGUCUAAAGAGGUGCAAGCCUGGAAAACGCUCUCGUCUUGCUCUACAGCACUUGCACUUGUCCCACCAUCUACCAGUGUUGGAACUCUUCCAAUAAUUUCCCACACCCAGGUGGAGAAUACUCCAGUUACUGCUACUGCUACUCUAAAAUAUCUCUCAUCUUGUUCUACAGCGCCUGCACCUGUCCUACCAUCUACCAGUGUUGGAACUCUUCGAAGUGUAUUAAUGAUUAUUAUUUUAGUAACCAUAAAAGUUUAAAACAAUACAUUUUAUUGCAUAAUUAUUUGUUAGAAAAAACGACAAGUACAAAUGAGUAGGAAGGCUGUUGAUAUUUCAUG